rnacentral:rRNA from 1 species
GUUGUAUGGUUAAGUGACUAAGCGUACACGGUGGAUGCCUUGGCAGUCAGAGGCGAUGAAAGACGUAGUAACUUGCGAUAAGCCCAGAUUAGGUAGUAACAACCAUUUGAGUCUGGGAUUUCUGAAUGGGGAAACCCACGUGCAUAAGCACGUAUCCUUACCUGAAUACAUAGGGUAAGGAGGCGAACCGGGGGAACUGAAACAUCUAAGUACCCCGAGGAAAAGAAAUCAACCGAGAUUCCGAAAGUAGCGGCGAGCGAAAUUGGACUAGCCCUUAAGCUUUACACGCGUUAGA